rnacentral:rRNA from 1 species
AUUGAACGCUGGCGGCAUGCCUUACACAUGCAAGUCGAACGGCAGCACGGGUGCUUGCACCUGGUGGCGAGUGGCGAACGGGUGAGUAAUACAUCGGAACGUACCUUAUCGUGGGGGAUAACGCAGCGAAAGCUGUGCUAAUACCGCAUACGCCCUGAGGGGGAAAGCGGGGGAUCGAAAGACCUCGCGCGAUUAGAGCGGCCGAUGCCUGAUUAGCUUGUUGGUGGGGUAAAAGCCCACCAAGGCGACGAUCAGUAGCUGGUCUGAGAGGACGAUCAGCCACGCUGGGACUGAGACACGGCCCAGACUCCUACGGGAGGCAGCAGUGGGGAAUUUUGGACAAUGGGGGGCAACCCUGAUCCAGCAAUGCCGCGUGAGUGAAGAAGGCCUUCGGUUUGUAAAGCUCUUUUGUCAGGGAAGAAACACCGGCUCUAACACAGUCCGGGAAUGACGGUACCUGAAGAAUAAGCACCGGCUAACUACGUGCCAGCAGCCGCGGUAA